CCAGUUUCGGGAGGAGAGCCUGUUGCUGGAUUCACCAGGCCAAGCCAUGGCACUUAAUGGUGAUCGUGGGGUGUUUGUUUCUUGCAGUAUCUUACGCUCCUGUUAAAAUUGGAAGUAUAUUUAGUCUACUAAAGGAUUGACGAAUAUUGAUUCAAUCAAGAUUGGCCACUUCCACUAAUGAACAUUAUGUUUAAAGUGAUAACAUUUUGCAGCCAUGAAUUCAUUAAGGAUUCCAAGACCAACGACUUGAAACACUAAUUGAUGGAAUUUGUAGCUAACAUACCACAGCAAGAAAAAAGCAUGUAACAUCUCUUUUCCUCAUACAUAUUUGCAAAUUUCUUUAAUGUCAAGUAUAUCUGCCAGUGAUCAACUGAAUUCAUGAAAUGCUCAAAAUACUGCAUUAAAGUCUUACUGUUUAAUACACAAGUGGAAACAAGAAUGAGAUAAUCUUCUAUUCCUUACAGAAGACAAGAUAUUCUUUACAUUUAACCUCAAGGCAGAAAAUGAACUA